UAGAAUCUAGAAACCCUAAAACUGAAAGCAAAGCAGAUACUUAUUAUAAUUGUUGUUGUUAUUGUUGUUGUUGAGUUUUGCCAUCACUUUUAGAUCAUGUUCUAUUUGUUGAUGUUUAUGCUUGCAAGUUUUGAUACCUUCUAAUUUAUAUCAUUGUAGGUUAUGGAACUAAGUACCUAUCGUCGAUUGAGCAGUUUCCCUGCGCACUUCCCCACACACCCGAAAUCAGUGUUCAUGUGAUCCCAUUGGAUUCAGUCCCACCGGGUAAGGCUGAAGUAUCAAUCGACCGCCUAAAUUAUUCUAGAUUUAUUCAAGAAAUAAAGUAGAGAUUUUAAUAACUAUAUUAGUUAUUAAUGGAAAGCUUUAAAUCUCUAACAACUCUAAACCCUCCAACUUCUUUGUUGCUUUGUUGCUUACUGUCUCUCUAAAUUCCUAACAGCCGAUCCACUUUUCUCCAUCGACUCGUUAUCCCAAACUCUCAGCUGUAGCAGGUUAGUAUUUCUAGGAAAUGUUUUUAUUUAUUUAUUUAGCUAAGUGAUUUGAAAAUUGUGGGAAGUUCCUGUUGAUUGAUCAAUAAUGCAGUUCAAUGCUAAGGGAUUCUAAUAACAAGUUGCAUUUGUAUGUUUAACGCGUACAGUUUUGAUAAUUUUUGCUAUUGCGUCUUUACUUUUUGUUUAAUUUUAUCGGGUAUGCAAUUGGAGUAUCGAAAUUUGGGUUAGCAAGUAAAUCGGGCUAAAUUGGAGCACAAACAAUAGAAAUUGGCUGAAUUGAAAUUUUUGAGAAAUUUAUGAUUGAUCAGAUUUUCUAUUUGACUUUGUAAAAGCUAGAUUUAGAAAAAAAAUUGAUAUAAAAUCUGAUUUGAUGUGGUUGGUUGUUAGAUGAAUUAGAUUAAUUUUAGCAUAUCAGAUGUGUAUACCUUGUAUGGUUGCCUUUGGAAAACACACUGGAAGUUGAAUGUAACAAUUUAUUUCUUUCUUUUCUUUCACGCGGCAGUGCUAAUUCAAACAUUCUGCUAUUCUUUUUCCAUUUUAUUAAUUUAGAUUUAAUUGUUUAUCAAGUCCUUUAUCCGUUCUUCCAUUCAUCAUUACCAUUAAAUUCCUUUUAUAAACCAACAAG
rnacentral:lncRNA from 1 species